UCUUAGUAUGUUUAAGAAAUCUCUGGCAUAAUCUUAAAAAAAUGCUUGUAAGAUUUUAUUUCGGGAAAUCCCGAAAUGGGUAAAAAAUCCAUGUAAUAAAUAUGUGCCUGAUUCAAGAUUUAUAUUUUGGGGAUUUUUCCCGAAAUGUUUAAAGAAAUUAUUAGUCGGGAGUUCUAGCAUAUUUGUAUGGUUUUCGGUAUACAUCCCCAAAUAUUUGAAGACAUUUUUGUAUACAUUUUCCACUUGCUGGUUUAUUUUUG
rnacentral:lncRNA from 1 species